AUUGAACGCUGGCGGCAGGCCUAACACAUGCAAGUCGAACGGUAACAGGGAUCAGCUUGCUGAUUCGCUGACGAGUGGCGGACGGGUGAGUAAUGUCUGGGAAACUGCCUGAUGGAGGGGGAUAGCUACUGGAAACGGUAGCUAAUACCGCAUAACGUCGCAAGACCAAAGAGGGGGACCUUCGGGCCUCUUGCCAUCGGAUGUGCCCAGAUGGGAUUAGCUAGUAGGUGGGGUAACGGCUCACCUAGGCGACGAUCCCUAGCUGGUCUGAGAGGAUGACCAGCCACACUGGAACUGAGACACGGUCCAGACUCCUACGGGAGGCAGCAGUGGGGAAUAUUGCACAAUGGGCGCAAGCCUGAUGCAGCCAUGCCGCGUGUAUGAAGAAGGCCUUCGGGUUGUAAAGUACUUUCAGCGGGGAGGAAGGGAGUAAAGUUAAUACCUUUGCUCAUUGACGUUACCCGCAGAAGAAGCACCGGCUAACUCCGU
rnacentral:rRNA from 1 species